ACACAUCAGUGUUUGUGAGUAACUUUUCUUUUCAUAUCGACGCCGCCGUCGGGCUGCCAAAAGCAAAAAAAAAUGAAUUUUGUUUUCGCGUUUAGUCGCUGCUGUUUUUUUUUCGCUCAGUGCUGCUGCAACAGAUUAUAUUAUAACGUAGGAAUACUGCUGCUAAAAGCGAACAGUUCCCGUUCUCCAGCUAGUGUUCCUAUUGAAAGAUGUUCGUCGCGAUGGCAGGAACUGGGUGCCACACGUGCAACAAAAUUUGGAAGCCGGACAAUGGAUAACGUAGAAAAAAUAUCCUUGGAAUGAUUGCUACCCGGAAAUGGAAAUUGGCAGGCUAGAGAGGCAGUGAGAAGUUUUGGCAGAAGAAGUUGAAUUGCUUGUUUCAUAAGUGGUGUAUCGGUGGAUAGAAUUUGAUGUUGGCAUGUUACGAAUAAUAAAAACACAUAUUUUAGAAAUAAAAUAAUUUUCCGCAUGUUUAAAAUGCGAUCUAAA